rnacentral:rRNA from 1 species
CCACUGAGAAGAUAGUGGCGAACGGGUGAGUAACACGUGGGUAACCUGCCCAUAAGAGGGGGAUAACAUCCGGAAACGGGUGCUAAUACCGCAUAGUUUUCUUGAUCGCAUGAUUGAGAAAGGAAGACGGCCUUUGUGCUGUCGCUUAUGGAUGGACCCGCGGCGUAUUAGUUAGUUGGUGAGGUAACGGCUCACCAAGACGAUGAUACGUAGCCGACCUGAGAGGGUGAUCGGCCACAUUGGGACUGAGACACGGCCCAAACUCCUACGGGAGGCAGCAGUAGGGAAUCUUCCGCAAUGGACGAAAGUCUGACGGAGCAACGCCGCGUGAGUGAAGAAGGUUUUCGGAAUCGUAAAACUCUGUUGUCAGAGAAGAACAAGUUGGAGAGUAACUGCUCCAGCCUUGACGGUAUCUGACCAGAAAGCCACGGCUAACUACGUGCCAGCAGCUGC